rnacentral:rRNA from 1 species
AGUUUGAUCCUGGCUCAGAACGAACGCUGGCGGCAGGCUUAACACAUGCAAGUCGAACGCCCCGCAAGGGGAGUGGCAGACGGGUGAGUAACGCGUGGGAAUCUACCCAUCUCUGCGGAAUAGCUCUGGGAAACUGGAAUUAAUACCGCAUAUGCCCUACGGGGGAAAGAUUUAUCGGGGAUGGAUGAGCCCGCGUUGGAUUAGCUAGUUGGUGGGGUAAAGGCCUACCAAGGCGACGAUCCAUAGCUGGUCUGAGAGGAUGAUCAGCCACAUUGGGACUGAGACACGGCCCAAACUCCUACGGGAGGCAGCAGUGGGGAAUAUUGGACAAUGGGCGCAAGCCUGAUCCAGCCAUGCCGCGUGAGUGAUGAAGGCCUUAGGGUUGUAAAGCUCUUUCACCGGUGAAGAUAAUGACGGUAACCGGAGAAGAAGCCCCGGCUAACUUCGUGCCAGCAGCCGCGGUAA